rnacentral:rRNA from 1 species
GAUGAACGCUGGCGGCGUGCUUAACACAUGCAAGUCGAACGAGAAAUGGAGACGGAAACCUUCGGGCGGAAGGCUUCAUUUCGAGUGGCGGACGGGUGAGUAACGCGUGGGUAACCUGCCUCAUACAGGGGGAUAACAGUUGGAAACGACUGUUAAUACCGCAUAAGACCACAGCACCGCAUGGUGCGGGGGUAAAGACUCCGGUGGUAUGAGAUGGACCCGCGUUCGAUUAGCCAGUUGGCGGGGUAACGGCCCACCAAAGCGACGAUCGAUAGCCGAUCUGAGAGGAUGACCGGCCACAUUGGGACUGAGACACGGCCCAAACUCCUACGGGAGGCAGCAGUGGGGAAUAUUGCACAAUGGGGGAAACCCUGAUGCAGCGACGCCGCGUGAGUGAAGAAGUACUUCGGUAUGUAAAGCUCUAUCAGCAGGGAAGAAAAUGACGGUACCUGAGUAAGAAGCCCCGGCUAACUACGUG